rnacentral:rRNA from 1 species
UACGUAGGGCGCAAGCGUUGUCCGGAAUUAUUGGGCGUAAAGAGCUCGUAGGCGGUUUGUCGCGUCUGCUGUGAAAACUCGGGGCUUAACUCCGGGCCUGCAGUGGGUACGGGCAGACUAGAGUGCGGUAGGGGAGACUGGAAUUCCUGGUGUAGCGGUGAAAUGCGCAGAUAUCGGGAGGAACACCGGUGGCGAAGGCGGUUCUCUGGGCCUUACCUGACGCUGAGGAGCGAAAGCGUGGGGAGCGAACAGG